CCUACGGGAGGCAGCAGUGGGGAAUAUUGGGCAAUGGGCGCAAGCCUGACCCAGCAACGCCGCGUGAAGGAAGAAGGCUUUCGGGUUGUAAACUUCUUUUCUCAGGGACGAAGAAAGUGAGGUUACUUGCGGAUUAAGCCCCGGCUAACUACGUGCCAGCAGCCGCGGAAAUACGUAGGUGGCAAGCUUUAGCCGGAUUUAUUGGGUGUAAAGGGGGUGUAGGCGGGGGGACAAGUCAGAUGUGAAAACUCAGGGCUCAACCCAGAGCUUGCAUUUGAAACUGUGUUUCUUGAGUGCUGGAGAGGCAGACGGAAUUCCGAGUGUAGCGGUGAAAUGCGUAGAUAUAAGGAGGAACACCAGUGGCGAAGGCGGAUUGCUGGACAGUAACUGACGCUGAGGCGCGAAAGCGUGGGGAGCAAACAGGAUUAGAUACCCUUGUAGUC
rnacentral:rRNA from 1 species